GAUCCAUGAAGAAGGAGAAGGAGCUUCGCGAGAGAGAAAGGAGAAGAAGACAGGAAGCAGCAGCAGCAGCAGCGAGAGUGAGAGUGCAGUUUGCAGGAGCUUGGGGGAGUGAUUAUAUAAGGGCGAGUGCACGGUGAGGUGUGGGGACCACCGAGGGGGAGUGUGGUCCCCGGGGAAGUAGCCGUUGGAUCGGCAACGUUUGGGGCAGAC
rnacentral:lncRNA from 1 species